UCUCAUAGCAGUUCGUGACGGUUAUAUUAAAUAUAUUUUAUUUUUAAUUUGACCAUUUUGUUUAUAGGGUGUAAUGUGACCUGGAUUUACUGAGAUUCAUCCAGACAUCAGCCACCUGUUGGGGAAAUCUGCUUUAUGUUCACGAAUCCAAGCGAUAAUGCGACAUGUCAGGUUGUGUCAGCUGCCACCACCCCUCCAGGACGUCAGAGUGGCGCACACUCGUCGAAAAGCUGUCAUCUCUUUCUGGUGUCUGCAGUGAAGGAUCAAAGCGGGAACAGGCAGCCAGCAAGAGAGAGAGAGAGAGAGAGAGAGAGAGAGAGAGAGAGAGAGAGAGAGAGAGUUUGGGGUGAACCAGAGGACGCAGCCUCUCCAGUUAAACAGGGUAUAACCCAGUUGCUGCCAGAUUGAAGGAAUGCUGCUUCUCUGUAAACAGAUUCAAUUAAGACAUCAAACCGUACGAUGAAAAAGAAUGCCGAUGAGGAAAAAGCCAGGUUCAGGGUCGAACCGCAUGCCUCCCCUGCUUUUCUCUGAUUUAGAAACAGACUUCUUUUGAUUAAAUAAUCAUCGCUUCGUAUAAAUGCAAGUUGCGGACCAGACGCGCGCGUAGACACAGAUGAAAUUUAAUGAGCUCGGUAAGAUGCCGCAGAAGCGUUGCUGUUUUUAAGACCUCUGAAUAAAAGCUCUUUAGAUCUGGGGCGCUCAUGCUGCGUUCCACAGAUUUCCAACGUCCUACUUGGAAAAGUGCGAUAGAAUGCCAAAAGCCGGACUUCCAAUUGGGAAACGAGUGUGGAAAUCCUACUUUUUCCAUAGCACUCUUUAUGCACUAUUCUGUGCCAUUUUGUAGCAAUAAGUGUGUUCACACUGAAAGUUGCCAAAAGAAAAAGUGCAUUUACUUAAAGUCCCUGUGAAAUCAAAAUUGAACCUAUUUACUUUGUUAGCGCAUAUUACUAAUCUUGUGGU